GAUGAACGCUGGCGGCGUGCCUAAUACAUGCAAGUCGAACGAGGUGCCUUUGUAGCAAUACGGAGGUAUCCUAGUGGCGAACGGGUGAGUAACGCGUUGGUGACCUGCCCCAAAGUGUGGAAUAACAGUCCGAAAGGAUUGCUAAUACCGCAUGUGGUCUCCGGGUUUAGAAACCGGUGACUAAAGGAGUAAUCCGCUUUGGGAGGGACCUGCGUCCCAUCAGCUAGUUGGUGAGGUAACGGCUCACCAAGGCGACGACGGGUAGGGGACCUGAGAGGGUGACCCCCCACAAUGGAACUGAAACACGGUCCAUACACCUACGGGUGGCAGCAGUAGGGAAUAUUGCACAAUGGGCGAAAGCCUGAUGCAGCAACGCCGCGUGCGCGAUGAAGGUCUUCGGAUCGUAAAGCGCUUUUCUGAGGGAUGAGCAAGGACAGUACCUCAGGAAUAAGUCUCGGCUAACUACGUGCCAGCAGCCGCGGUAAAACGUAGGAGGCGAGCGUUAUCCGGAUUCACUGGGCGUAAAGCGCGUGCAGGUGGUUCGGUAAGUUGGGCGUGAAAUCUCCCGGCUCAACUGGGAGAGGUCGUCCAAUACUACCGAACUUGAGAGCAGAAGAGGAAGAUGGAAUUCCCGGUGUAGUGGUGAAAUGCGUAGAUAUCGGGAGGAACACCAGUGGCGAAGGCGAUCUUCUGGUCUGUUUCUGACACUCAGACGCGACAGCUAGGGUAGUAAACGGGAUUAGAGACCCCGGUAAUCCUAGCCGUAAACGAUGUGAACUUGGCGUUGGUGGGUUAAACUCCAUCAGUGCCGAAGCAAACGCGAUAAGUCACC
rnacentral:rRNA from 1 species